CAAUAAGCGGAGGAAAAGAAACCAACAGGGAUUGCCUCAGUAACGGCGAGUGAAGCGGCAAGAGCUCAACUUUGGAAUCGCUGCGGCGAGUUGUAGUCUGGAGGUGGCCGGUCCCGGCGCCAGCGCGCAGCCAAGUCCUUUGGAACAAGGCGCCUGAGAGGGUGACAGCCCCGUGGCAGUUUGUGCUGGUGCCGCCUCGGCCCACCGACGAGUCGAGUUGUUUGGGAAUGCAGCUCUAAGUGGGUGGUAAAUUCCAUCUAAAGCUAAAUACCGGCGAGAGACCGAUAGCGAACAAGUACAGUAAUGGAAAGAUGAAAAGCACUUUGAAAAGAGAGUGAAACAGUACGUGAAAUUGUUGAAAGGGAAGGGCUUGCACCCAGACACGGCCUUCUGGCCGGGCCAGCAUCGGGUGGGAGGGAGCGACAACGAGCAGUCGAUGUAGUACAGCCCUCUGGGCUGUGCAUUAUACGUCUUGCUUUCUGGCUCCUCUCCCGCCCGAGGACCGCAGCAAUAAGGAUGCUG
rnacentral:rRNA from 2 species